AAAGUCGUAACAAGGUUUCCGUAGGUGAACCUGCGGAAGGAUCAUUAAAGAUUCGGGCUUCGGCCUACCCUCUUCAGCUGUGCGCUUCGGCUGCACGCUGUCGAAACUCUCACACCUGUGCACCUUUUCGGUUGCGGCGUUCGCGUCGCUUCCGCUUUUACGUUUUACAACAGUCCAGAAUGUAACAAACCAUAAACGAAACAACUUUCAACAACGGAUCUCUUGGCUCUC
rnacentral:misc_RNA from 1 species